rnacentral:rRNA from 1 species
GNAAUUGGCGGGGGCCCGCCCAAGCGGUGGAGCAUGUGGUUUAAUGNGAUGCAAAGCGAANAACCUUACCAGGGUUUGACAUGGCUAACUUAAGCCGAUGUGAAAGCAUUUGGUGUUGUUAAGCUUNCUUAAUAUAGUUAGUGCAGGUGCUGCAUGGCUGUCGUCAGCUCGUGCCGUGAGGUGUCCGGUUAAGUCCGGUAACGAGCGCAACCCCUAUGUUUAGUUGCCAGCACUUAAGGUGGGAACUCUAAAGAGACUGCCGGCGACAAGCCGGAGGAAGGUGGGGACGACGUCAAGUCAUCAUGGCCCUUAUGCCCUGGGCUACACACAUGCUACAAUGGUUGGUACAAUGGGUUGCCAAGCCGUAAGGCGGAGCCAAUCCCAUCAAAGCCAAUCUCAGUUCGAAUUGCAGGCUGCAACUCGCCUGCAUGAAGUUGGAAUCGCUAGUAAUCGUGGGUCAGCAAUACCACGGUGAAUACGUUCCCGGGCCUUGCACACACCGCCCGUCACACCACGAAAGUUGGUUCUACCCGAAGUGGGCUAGCUAACCNGCAANGGGGGCAAAGCUNCCUAAGGUAGGGUCUGGUAANAG